rnacentral:rRNA from 1 species
GGGCCCGCACAAGCGGUGGAGUAUGUGGUUUAAUUCGAAGAUACGCGCAGAACCUUACCAACACUUGACAUGUUCGUCGCGACUUUAAGAGAUUAAAGUUUUCGGUUCGGCCGGACGAAACACAGGUGCUGCAUGGCUGUCGUCAGCUCGUGUCGUGAGAUGUUGGGUUAAGUCCCGCAACGAGCGCAACCCUCACUUUUAGUUGCCAUCAUUAAGUUGGGCACUCUGAAAGAACUGCCAGUGAUAAGCUGGAGGAAGGUGGGGAUGACGUCAAGUCCUCAUGGCCCUUACGUGUUGGGCUACACACGUGCUACAAUGGUAUCUACAACAGGAAGCAAGACGGCGACGUUUAGCAAAUCCUUAAAACGUUUCGUAGUCCGGAUCGGAGUCUGCAACUCGACUCCGUGAAGCUGGAAUC